CAAGUAAUUAAGUGCAUGUGGUGGAUGCCUUGGCAGUCAGAGGCGAUGAAAGACGUGAUAGCCUGCGAAAAGCUCCGGGGAGGCGGCAAAUAUCCUUUGAUCCGGAGAUGUCUGAAUGGGGGAACCCACCUACUUUAAGGUAGGUAUUGCAACAUGAAUACAUAGUGUUGCAAGGCGAACGAGGGGAAGUGAAACAUCUCAGUACCCUUAGGAAAAGAAAUCAAUUGAGAUUCCCUCAGUAGCGGCGAGCGAACGGGGAUCAGCCCAUUAAGUUAUGUGUGUUUUAGUGGAACGCUCUGGGAAGUGCGAACGUAGAGGGUGAUAUUCCCGUACACGAAAGGGCACACAUAAUGAUGACGAGUAGGGCGAGGCACGUGAAACCUUGUCUGAAUAUGGGGGGACCAUCCUCCAAGGCUAAAUACUCCUGACUGACCGAUAGUGAACCAGUACCGUGAGGGAAAGGCGAAAAGAACCCCUGUGAGGGGAGUGAAAUAGAUCCUGAAACCGCAUGCAUACAAGCAGUGGGAGCACCUUCGUGGUGUGACUGCGUACCUUUUGUAUAAUGGGUCAGCGACUUAUAUUCAGUAGCGAGGUUAACCGUAUAGGGGAGCCGUAGAGAAAUCGAGUCUUAAUAGGGCGUUUAGUUGCUGGGUAUAGACCCGAAACCAGGCGAUCUAUCCAUGAGCAGGUUGAAGGUUGGGUAACACUAACUGGAGGACCGAACCCACUGUCGUUGAAAAGCCAGGGGAUGACUUGUGGAUAGGGGUGAAAGGCUAAUCAAGCCUGGUGAUAGCUGGUUCUCCCCGAAAGCUAUUUAGGUAGCGCCUCGGACGAAUACCAUAGGGGGUAGAGCACUGUUUCGGCUAGGGGGUCAUCCCGACUUACCAAACCGAUGCAAACUCCGAAUACCUAUGAGUACUAUCCGGGAGACAGACUGCGGGUGCUAACGUCCGUAGUCAAGAGGAAAACAAUCCAGACCGCCAGCUAAGGCCCCAAAAUCAUAGUUAAGUGGGAAACGAUGUGGGAAGGCAUAGACAGCUAGGAGGUUGGCUUAGAAGCAGCCACCCUUUAAAGAAAGCGUAAUAGCUCACUAGUCGAGUCGGCCUGCGCGGAAGAUGUAACGGGGCUAAAACUAUGUGCCGAAGCUGCGGAUGUAUACUUUGUAUACGUGGUAGGGGAGCGUUCUGUAAGCCGAUGAAGGUGUGUUGAGAAGCAUGCUGGAGGUAUCAGAAGUGCGAAUGCUGACGUGAGUAACGACAAAACGGGUGAAAAACCCGUUCGCCGAAAGACCAAGGGUUCCAGUCCAACGUUAAUCGGGGCUGGGUGAGUCGACCCCUAAGGCGAGGCCGAAAGGCGUAGUCGAUGGGAAAAUGGUUAAUAUUCCAUUACUUCUGUGUAAUGCGAUGAGAGGACGGAGAAGGCUAAAUCAGCCUGGCGUUGGUUGUCCAGGUGAAAGGAUGUAGGCAUGUAUCUUAGGCAAAUCCGGGGUACUCUAUGCUGAGAUCUGAUAGCAAGCUGUACUUGUACAGCGAAGUGGUUGAUGCCAUGCUUCCAGGAAAAGUCUCUAAGCUUCAGUUACACAGGAAUCGUACCCGAAACCGACACAGGUGGUCAGGUCGAGUAGACCAAGGCGCUUGAGAGAACUCUGCUGAAGGAACUAGGCAAAAUGGUACCGUAACUUCGGGAGAAGGUACGCUGUUGUUGGUGAUGGAACUCGCUUCCUGAGCUGACGACAGCCGCAGAAACCAGGCCGCUGCAACUGUUUAUUAAAAACAUAGCACUCUGCAAACACGAAAGUGGACGUAUAGGGUGUGAUGCCUGCCCGGUGCUGGAAGGUUAAUUGAUGGGGUUAGCGUAAGCGAAGCUCUUGAUCGAAGCCCCAGUAAACGGCGGCCGUAACUAUAACGGUCCUAAGGUAGCGAAAUUCCUUGUCGGGUAAGUUCCGACCUGCACGAAUGGCAUAAUGAUGGCGGCGCUGUCUCCAGCAGAGGCUCAGUGAAAUCGAAAUCGCUGUGAAGAUGCAGUGUACCCGCGGCUAGACGGAAAGACCCCGUGAACCUUUACUGCAGCUUGACACUGAACUUUGACCUUACUUGUGUAGGAUAGGUGGGAGGCUUUGAAGCUGGAACGCUAGUUCCAGUGGAGCCGUCCUUGAAAUACCACCCUGGUAAUGUUGAGGUUCUAACUCUGUCCCGUGAUCCGGGACGAGGACCGUGUCUGGUGGGUAGUUUGACUGGGGCGGUCUCCUCCUAAAGAGUAACGGAGGAGUACGAAGGUGCGCUCAGCGUGGUCGGAAAUCACGCGUAGAGUAUAAAGGCAAAAGCGCGCUUAACUGCGAGACCCACAAGUCGAGCAGGUACGAAAGUAGGUCUUAGUGAUCCGGUGGUUCUGUAUGGAAGGGCCAUCGCUCAACGGAUAAAAGGUACUCUGGGGAUAACAGGCUGAUACCGCCCAAGAGUUCAUAUCGACGGCGGUGUUUGGCACCUCGAUGUCGGCUCAUCUCAUCCUGGGGCUGAAGCAGGUCCCAAGGGUAUGGCUGUUCGCCAUUUAAAGAGGUACGCGAGCUGGGUUUAGAACGUCGUGAGACAGUUCGGUCCCUAUCUACCGUGGGCGCUGGAAAUUUGAGAGGAUCUGCUCCUAGUACGAGAGGACCAGAGUGGACGAACCUCUGGUGUACCGGUUGUGACGCCAGUCGCAUCGCCGGGUAGCUAUGUUCGGAAGGGAUAACCGCUGAAAGCAUCUAAGCGGGAAGCCUACCUCAAGAUAAGAUUUCCCUAGGACUUUAUGUCCUCUAAAGAGCCGUUCGAGACUAGGACGUUGAUAGGUUGGAUGUGGAAGCAUAGUGAUAUGUGAAGCUGACCAAUACUAAUUGCU
rnacentral:rRNA from 2 species